AUUGAACGCUGGCGGCAUGCCUUACACAUGCAAGUCGAACGGCAGCACGGGCUUCGGUCUGGUAGCGAGUGGCGAACGGGUGAGUAAUGUAUCGGAACGUGCCUUUUAGUGGGGGAUAACGUAGCGAAAGUUACGCUAAUACCGCAUAUUCUGUGAGCAGGAAAGCAGGGGAUCGCAAGACCUUGCGCUAAUUGAGCGGCCGAUAUCAGAUUAGCUAGUUGGGUGGGUAAUGGCCCACCAAGGAUACGAUCUGUAGCGGGUCUGAGAGGAUGAUCCGCCACACUGGGACUGAGACACGGCCCAGACUCCUACGGGAGGCAGCAGUGGGGAAUUUCGGACAAUGGGGGCAACCCUGAUCCAGCCAUGCCGCGUGAGUGAAGAAGGCCUUCGGGUUGUAAAGCUCUUUCGGACGGGAAGAAAUCGCAUCGGCUAAUACCUGGUGCGGAUGACGGUACCGUAAUAAGAAGCACCGGCUAACUACGUGCCAGCAGCCGCCGUAA
rnacentral:rRNA from 1 species